rnacentral:lncRNA from 1 species
AAAUAUAAAAAAUCAAAAUAUAAAUACAAGAAACCAAGAAAAAGAUAUUAUGUAAAAAAUUAUAAAUACAAAAGACCAUAUAGAAAAAAGAAAUCUAUAAAAGAAUGUACUUGUUAUAAUUGUGAAAAAUUAGGACAUUUAGCUAGAGAUUGUAAAUUACCUAAAAAUCCAAAAAAUAAACAAAUAUCAAAAAUAAAAAUNN